GCUGGCUGCGUAUGGGGAAACUGCAAAAGCCAGAAAAGAAAAGUGCCAUAGAAGCCUCGAUCUGAGGACCUCUUCCAAGAUUAAAGCCAUUCUUAAGAGCAACCGCUAUCCUCUGUGGCUGACUUGCCCGGGACUAUACAGAAAGGCAUCUGCGACGAGAGCGGGCCGGACUUUGGCCCUGGCCAGGGCAGGCAGGCGUUUGGAGACCAC